GAGUUUGAUCUUGGCUCAGAACGAACGCUGGCGGCAUGCCUAACACAUGCAAGUCGAACGAUGGCUUCGGCCAUAGUGGCGCACGGGUGCGUAACGCGUGGGAAUCUGCCCUUGGGUUCGGAAUAACUCAGAGAAAUUUGAGCUAAUACCGGAUGAUGUCGAAAGACCAAAGAUUUAUCGCCCAGGGAUGAGCCCGCGUAGGAUUAGCUAGUUGGUGGGGUAAAGGCUCACCAAGGCGACGAUCCUUAGCUGGUCUGAGAGGAUGAUCAGCCACACUGGGACUGAGACACGGCCCAGACUCCUACGGGAGGCAGCAGUGGGGAAUAUUGGACAAUGGGCGAAAGCCUGAUCCAGCAAUGCCGCGUGAGUGAUGAAGGCCCUAGGGUUGUAAAGCUCUUUUACCCGGGAUGAUAAUGACAGUACCGGGAGAAUAAGCCCCGGCUAACUCCGUGCCAGCCGCCGCCGUAAU
rnacentral:rRNA from 1 species